CAGUGAUUAAAAAAGAGGUUUUGUUACUAACCUUUGUAACUACAAAGCUUCUGCACUUGACCUGAACUCA
ensembl:snoRNA